rnacentral:rRNA from 1 species
UACGGAGGGUGCGAGCGUUAAUCGGAAUUAUUGGGCGUAAAGGGUGCGUAGGUGGUUGUAUAAGUUAUCUGUGAAAACCCUGGGCUUAACCUGGGGGAGAGAGAUAAGACUGUGUGACUAGAGUAUGGGAGAGGGUAGUGGAAUUUCCGGUGUAGCGGUGAAAUGCGUAGAGAUCGGAAGGAACACCGGUGGCGAAGGCGGCUACCUGGCCUAAUACUGACACUGAGGCACGAAAGCGUGGGGAGCAAAC